rnacentral:rRNA from 1 species
UACGGGGGGGGCAAGCGUUGUUCGGAAUUACUGGGCGUAAAGGGCGCGUAGGCGGCGGGUCAAGUCGAGUGUGAAAGCCCCGGGCUCAACCUGGGAAUUGCGCUCGAGACUGGUCUGCUUGAGUUCGGGAGAGGUGAGUGGAAUUGCGAGUGUAGAGGUGAAAUUCGUAGAUAUUCGCAAGAACACCAGUGGCGAAGGCGGCUCACUGGCCCGGAACUGACGCUGAGACGCGAAAGCGUGGGGAGCAAACAGG